UACGGAGGUGGCAAGCGGUGCUCGGAAUCACUGGGCGUAAAGGGCGCGUAGGCGGGGGGGUAAGUCGGGUGUGAAAUCCCUCGGCCCAACUGAGGAACUGCGCCCGAGACUGCUUCUCUUGAGUCCCGGAGAGGAAGGUGGAAUUCCCGGUGUAGCGGUGAAAUGUGUAGAGAUCGGGAGGAACACCGGUGGCGAAGGCGGCCUUCUGGACGGUGACUGACGCUGAGGCGCGAAAGCGUGGGGAGCAAACGGG
rnacentral:rRNA from 1 species